UUUUAUUUGAGAGUUUGAUCCUGGCUCAGGAUGAACGCUGGCGGCGUGCCUAACACAUGCAAGUUGAGCGAUUUACUUCGGUAAAGAGCGGCGGACGGGUGAGUAACGCGUGGGUAACCUACCCUGUACACACGGAUAACAUACCGAAAGGUAUGCUAAUACGGGAUAAUAUAUUUGAGAGGCAUCUCUUGAAUAUCAAAGGUGAGCCAGUACAGGAUGGACCCGCGUCUGAUUAGCUAGUUGGUAAGGUAACGGCUUACCAAGGCGACGAUCAGUAGCCGACCUGAGAGGGUGAUCGGCCACAUUGGAACUGAGACACGGUCCAAACUCCUACGGGAGGCAGCAGUGGGGAAGAUUGCACAAUGGGCGAAAGCCUGAUGCAGCAACGCCGCGUGAGUGAGGAAGGCCUUCGGGUCGUAAAACUCUGUCCUCAAGGAAGAUAAUGACGGUACUUGAGGAGGAAGCCCCGGCUAACUACGUGCCAGCAGCCGCGGUAAUACGUAGGGGGCUAGCGUUAUCCGGAUUUACUGGGCGUAAAGGGUGCGUAGGCGGUCUUUCAAGUCAGGAGUGAAAGGCUACG
rnacentral:rRNA from 1 species